rnacentral:rRNA from 1 species
UGGGGAAUAUUGGACAAUGGACCAAAAGUCUGAUCCAGCAACUCUGUGUGCACGAUGACGUUUUUCGGAAUGUAAAGUGCUUUCAGUUGGGAAGAAAAAAAUGACGGUACCAACAGAAGAAGUGACGGCUAAAUACGUGCCAGCAGCCGCGGUAAUACGUAUGUCACAAGCGUUAUCCGGAUUUAUUGGGCGUAAAGCGCGUCUAGGUGGUUAUGUAAGUCUGAUGUGAAAAUGCAGGGCUCAACUCUGUAUUGCGUUGGAAACUGCAUGACUAGAGUACUGGAGAGGUAAGCGGAACUACAAGUGUAGAGGUGAAAUUCGUAGAUAUUUGUAGGAAUGCCGAUGGGGAAGCCAGCUUACUGGACAGAUACUGACGCUAAAGCGCGAAAGCGUGGGUAGCAAACAGGAUUAGAUACCCUGGUAGUCCACGCCGUAAACGAUGAUUACUAGGUCGNUGGGGGUCGAACCUCAGCCNNCCAGCUAACGCGAUAAGUAAUCCGCCUGGGGAGUACGUACGCAAGUAUG